AUAAGCGGAGGAAAAGAAACUAACAAGGAUUCCCCUAGUAACUGCGAGUGAAGCGGGAAAAGCUCAAAUUUGAAAUCUGGCAGCUUUGUUGUCCGAGUUGUAGUCUGGAGAAGUGUUUUCUGUGUCGGACCGUGUACAAGUCUCUUGGAAUAGGGCAUCAUAGAGGGUGAGAAUCCCGUCUUUGACACGGACUGCUGAUACUUUGAGAUGCGCUCUCAACGAGUCGAGUUGUUUGGGAAUGCAGCUCAAAAUGGGUGGUAAAUUCCAUCUAAAGCUAAAUAUUGGCAAGAGACCGAUAGUGAACAAGUACCGUGAGGGAAAGAUGAAAAGCACUUUGGAAAGAGAGUUAAACAGUACGUGAAAUUGCUGAAAGGGAAACGCUUGAAGUCAGUCGCAUUGAUCAGAACUCAGCUUGGCUUUCGCUUAGUGCAUUUUCUGGUUAAUGAGCCAACAUCAAUUUUGACUGCUGGAUAAAGGCUUAGGGAAUGUGGCACCUUUGGGUGUGUUAUAGCUCUUGGUCACAUACAGUGGUUGAGAUUGAGGAUCUCAGCAUGCCUUAUGGCCGAGGUUUACCUACGUUCAUGCUUAGGAUGUUGGCAUAAUGGCUUUAAACGACCCGUCUUGAAACACGGACCAAGGAGUCUAACAUGCCUGCGAGUGUUUGAGUGGAAAACUCGAGCGCGCAAUGAAAGUGAAAGUUGGGAUCCUUGUCGUGAGGAGCACCGACACCCGGACCAGACCUUUUGUGACGGAUCCGCGGUAGAGCAUGUAUGUUGGGACCCGAAAGAUGGNNUGAACUAUGCCUGAAUAGGGUGAAGCCAGAGGAAACUCUGGUGGAGGCUCGUAGCGAUUCUGACGUGCAAAUCGAUCGUCAAAUUUGGGUAUAGGGGCGAAAGAC
rnacentral:rRNA from 1 species